AUACGUAGGGUGCAAGCGUUAAUCGGAAUUACUGGGCGUAAAGCGUGCGCAGGCGGUUUUGUAAGACAGAGGUGAAAUCCCCGGGCUCAACCUGGGAACUGCCUUUGUGACUGCAAGGCUAGAGUACGGCAGAGGGGGGUGGAAUUCCGCGUGUAGCAGUGAAAUGCGUAGAUAUGCGGAGGAACACCGGUGGCGAAGGCAAUUCCCGGGGGCUGUAGUGACGCUCAUGCGCGAAAGCGUGGGGAGCAAACGGGAUUAGAUCCCCGGGGAGGCCACGCCAUAAACGAUGUCAACUGGUUGUGGGGUCUUCAGUGACUCAGUACCGAAGCUAACGCGUGAAGGUGGCCGCCUGGGGAGUACGGCCGCAAGGUUGAAACUCAAAGGAAUUGACGGGG
rnacentral:rRNA from 1 species